rnacentral:rRNA from 1 species
GACGAACGCUGGCGGCGUGCUUAACACAUGCAAGUCGAACGGAAAGGCCCUGCUUUUGUGGGUUGCUCGAGUGGCGAACGGUUGAGUAACACGUGAGUAACCUGCCCUUGACUUUGGGAUAACUUCAGGAAACUGGGGCUAAUACCGGAUAGGAGCUCCUGCUGCAUGGUGGGGGUUGGAAAGUUUCGGCGGUUGGGGAUGGACUCGCGGCUUAUCAGCUUGGUGGUGGGGUAGUGGCUUACCAAGGCUUUGACGGGUAGCCGGCCUGAGAGGGUGACCGGCCACAUUGGGAAUGAGAUACGGCCCAGAAUCCUACGGGAGGCAGCAGUGGGGAAAAUUGAACAAUGGGCGGAAGCCUGAUGCAGCAACGCCGCGUGCGGGAUGACGGCCUUCGGGUUGUAAACCGCUUUCGCCUGUGACGAAGCGUGAGUGACGGUAAUGGGUAAAGAAGCACCGGAUAACUACGUG